AUUCAAGUGACCACCUUUGCAUGAACCUUCUAACUUCUUGAGCUGCCUGGUGAUUGGAGAUGAACGUUGACUGAAGCAUGGCAUCCACUUGCCCUCCGCUACUAUUGCAGAGAGAAAGGGGGUGGGUGUCCAGCCACAAGCCAGUCAGUCUGCACAAUGAUGCCAUGUUCUGAAGGAAGCCAAGUGUGCUCGGCUUUACAAGAAAUAGAUAACAUCAAGGACAUCGGGAGUGGGAGAGAUUGGACUGGGAGACUCAGCAGGCAUAACCUGUUUGGGGUGCAAGAAACAAAAUUUGCCUGGAGGGAAUCGAGAAGAGGAAUAAGAGUACCCAGUAGGUCAGAGAUACUGUCACUGUACCAGAGGAAUAGCAGAUAAAAAUAAAAUACUUGCUCUAAUUUUCAUUUCUUCUACUUAGGACUGUUAGUAUUAACUCAAUACUUUUAGGGUUGUUCUUUAUCUCACCUCAGUUUUUUGGCGAUUUUAUCUUAUUUGGUUUUUGUAUUAGAUUUCAUCAGUGUUGGAAACUAAUCAAAUUUAUCAUCUCUUUUAGGGUAUUUCUGAUUUCUUUUUAUGCAUGUUAAUUAAAAGGAUUCCACUUUUUCUUGUGAUUUUCAACCCUUUUGAUUCUACUUGUCUUUAUAAUCUUUAGCCAAUACACUUUGCAUGGAUUAUUUCACAUUUUACAUUGCCUUGUUUACCUAGAGGCCAAAUGUACUUUUGGAUGUUUUCCCAAUAAAAUGGUCUGUAAGUAUGCACAAUCAUAUUUAUGUACACAGUUUUCCGACAAUGACUUGAGGAGGUACUUCUUUUUUUUUAAAUCAACUUUAUUGAAGUUUAACUUGCAUACAAUUAACUGCAUUCGUUUAAAGUAUAUGAUUCAGUAAGUUUUGACACAGAUAUCAUGACAUCACUAUUAGUCAAGUUACAGAACAUUCCUAAACCCCCCAAAUUUGCUGAUGCUCCUAAGUAGUCAGCCAUUUCCUCUACUUCUGGCCCCAAACAACCAUUGAUUUGCUUUCUCUAGAUUAGUUUGCUUUUUUAAAAUUUAAAUUCAGUUAAUUAACAUAUAAUGUAUUAUUUUUCUCAGGGGUACAGGUCUGUGAUAUUAGUUUGCUUUUUUCUGGAAUCUCAAACAAAUGGAUUCAUAUGAGCGUGUACUCCUUCAUGUCUGCCUUUUUUUGAUCCAGCAUGCUUUUGAGAUUUAUCACACUUUUGUGUUUAUCAAUAGUUCGUUCCUUUGUAUUGUGGAUUUUAUUGGACAGAUAUAUCACAUUUUGUUUACCCCUUCCUCUGAUGAUGAACACUGAGUCAUUUUCAUUUUUUGGCUCUUCUGAAUAAAGAUGCCUGACCGUUUGUGUCCAAGUCUUUAU
rnacentral:lncRNA from 1 species